AGUGGACGCUGGCGGUAGGCCUAACACAUGCAAGUCGAACGGCAGCACAGUAGGAGCUUGCUCUUACGGGUGGCGAGUGGCGGACGGGUGAGGAAUACAUCGGAAUCUACUUUUUCGUGGGGGAUAACGUAGGGAAACUUACGCUAAUACCGCAUACGACCUACGGGUGAAAGCAGGGGAUCUUCGGACCUUGCGCGAUUGAAUGAGCCGAUGUCGGAUUAGCUAGUUGGCGGGGUAAAGGCCCACCAAGGCGACGAUCCGUAGCUGGUCUGAGAGGAUGAUCAGCCACACUGGAACUGAGACGCGGUCCAGACUCCUACGGGAGGCAGCAGUGGGGAAUAUUGGACAAUGGGCGCAAGCCUGAUCCAGCCAUACCGCGUGGGUGAAGAAGGCCUUCGGGUUGUAAAGCCCUUUUGUUGGGAAAGAAAAGCAGCAGGUUAAUACCCCGCUGUUCUGACGGUACCCAAAGAAUAAGCACCGGCUAACUUCGUG
rnacentral:rRNA from 1 species